rnacentral:rRNA from 1 species
AUGGCGUUCUUCUGCGGCAGCAGCAGCACAGGCGGCGGCUCCGACGACGACGUCCCCGGCGCAUGGCCGACGAGCAUCGGAGUGCCGGAGACGGAGGAGCUCCACCGCUACUGCCUCCCCGUGGCGCCCGGCUGCCGUCUUCCACACAACUGGAAGAUCGAUGCGGAGGGCUUCGCGACGCCGGGUCCCGGGGCGACGGAGGAGGAGCUCCGCAACCACAGCGGCGACCGGCACAACAUCGAAGGCCGCAAGAGGUUUUGGUGCGGGGAGGACUAUUGGAAGGUCAUGGCCGCCUUCCGUCUUGUGGCGGCCGGCGAGACCCCCGACCUGACGGGCCGCAGCGGCCGUCUUCGCGCACCGCCUCCACCGCACGAUCGCCGCAGGCGUGGCGGCGGCCACGGUGUGCACCCGGCAACGGCGCCUGCGCCGGCCGCCCCUCCCUCGCCGUCGGGGAUAGACUUGCCGCCGGAGCAGGUCAUUCUCCGCGAGGACGGCGAUCCGGAUGACACAUCGCCGUACGGGCGUCCGAGGCUGCAGCGGCGGCGGAGGAGGCGAUGGAGGCCGCCGAGAUUGCGGCCGCAAUCCAGGUGGCCGAGGCGGCGUAGCAGGCGGCGAUGGCGGCGCAGCAGGGGGCGAUGGCGGCGCCGGAGUGGCAGCAGGAGUGGCAGCAGGCUCCGGCGGAGGAGGAGGAGGAGGAUUCUGACGAUGAUCCGGUGGACUGGGAUGACAUCGCGAACCGGUCCAGCAGCGACGAUGAUGUCGACGAUGGCCCGGCCGUGA